rnacentral:lncRNA from 1 species
GAAGGGCUUUGGUGAGGAUGCUUAGGGAGGAAGUGAUGAAUCAGAGCAGAUUGGGUUGGGAUGGCAGAAAGGAUCAGAAAGCUAAGCUAGACCCAUUCUUUGCAGCUGGGCCAGAGGGUAGGACGGUGAGUAAUGAUAGCACUUCGGGGGUCACCUCGGGGAUGAUAGUCUUGUCAAGUCUUAUACGUGACAGGGAGAAGCAAUGGCUAAUACAUCUAUAUAUCGAUAAUAUGAAUAAAUAAUUUUAGAAGUGUCUUCAUGCACAAACCAAUGAUGAAAGCAGGCCAUGAAUGGAGACACAUGAUCAGUUUCACUGUGUGUCCUAAAACACAUUAUUUUUAGGAGUUUCCUAAAAAUAAACCCCAAGGCUCAGUGACCAAACGUCAAUGAUGAUAACAACGAGCGUUUUCCUUCCUAGGGUGGAACAUCUUUUGAAGAGCUCAGACCCUGGACCCCUGAUCUUAAUGAGCUUUGCAGCCUUCACGAAGCCACAAGCAGCGAUUACCCUCCCCAUUGACUAGGGAAGAAAUCAAGGCAUAGAGAGGUUGAGAACCUGGAGGAAAUUAUCCAGCCCAGAUGGAAACUGCCAAGAAGCAAGAUCUACAUCUGGGUCUGUCUGACUGUGCUUGUCGACUCUGCUGUCUUUAAGAAAUUAACUUGCAGAUCAUUUGGAGAGUGAAGAAAGGGAGAUGACUCCUUUCUUAUUCUCUGUGUUUAACUCUUGUUCUGUUUCCUAGGGGUUUAUGCCUUCUGUUUUGGUUUUUCCCUUUAUUCCUCUACAUUUAUCAUCCUCCUUUGUUUUUCUUCUUCUUCAGCAUUUGCUCUCUUCUCUUCUCGCCUACCCAGUUGGCUUUUCUCUCUUUCCCUCCAUUUCUCUCUUUAGUUACCCACACCAGACUAGGGCCAAGUCAUUUGUUUACUUGAGCGUCUGAGCGAGAAAAGAAGUUUAAAAUCUCUCCACACAUUAAAACAAAGAAAAGAACAUUUUAUAUUCCCUUUCAUGGUCAAAAGAUGAUCCUUUCUUCCCCUUCACAGAAUCCAUUUAGGUGUUUAUAGAGCAGUUAUCUUAACAAUGACUGUCCUUUGCUUUUCUCUGUGUUCCAAUUAACAUUCUUAAUUGCCUCGUUCUAAACGUCUCACUUUUUGUGUGUUGCCUAGAGUUCUCUGACAAGUUUAUUUUUAAUUAUAAUUUAUAUUGCAAAGCCGGAUAGAUAUUUAUAACAGUCAACUUUCCAUUGUGCCGCGCUUUUAGCUCUUUAAGCUUUGUUAUAAUAAAGUUUGCAGCGAAUUUGAAGAA